rnacentral:rRNA from 1 species
GGACUACUAGGGUUUCUAAUCCUGUUUGAUCCCCACGCUUUCGUGCCAGAGUGUCAGUAAUCGUCCAGAUAGCCGCCUUCGCCACCGGUGUUCCUGCUAAUAUCUACGAAUUUCACCUCUACAUUAGCAAUUCCGCUAUCCCCUCCGAUACUCUAGCUUUACAGUUUCAAAGGCAAUUCUGGGGUUGAGCCCCAGGAUUUCACCCCUGACUUGUAAAGCCACCUACGCACGCUUUACGCCCAGUAAAUCCGAACAACGCUAGCACCCUUCGUAUUACCGCGGCUGCUGGCAC